rnacentral:tRNA from 2 species
GCCCCCGUAACUCAGAUGGCCGGAGCGCCGCUCUCCAAAACCAGAUGUCGCAGGUUCGAAGCCUGCCGGGGGCU